UGGGGAAUAUUGGACAAUGGGCGCAAGCCUGAUCCAGCCAUGCCGCGUGAGUGAUGAAGGCCUUAGGGUUGUAAAGCUCUUUUAGCAGGGAAGAUAAUGACGGUACCUGCAGAAAAAGCCCCGGCUAACUUCGUGCCAGCAGCCGCGGUAAUACGAAGGGGGCUAGCGUUGCUCGGAAUUACUGGGCGUAAAGCGCACGUAGGCGGACUCUUAAGUCGGUGGUGAAAUCCUGGAGCUCAACUCCAGAACUGCCAUCGAUACUGGGAGUCUUGAGUUCGGGAGAGGUGAGUGGAACUGCGAGUGUAGAGGUGAAAUUCGUAGAUAUUCGCAAGAACACCAGUGGCGAAGGCGGCUCACUGGCCCGAUACUGACGCUGAGGUGCGAAAGCGUGGGGAGCAAACA
rnacentral:rRNA from 1 species